rnacentral:lncRNA from 1 species
UAGAGGCUUUUGCCUCUGGAUCUCAAGAAAGCAGGAGGACUGUCUCUGAGGGGCUGCUGAAGAAAUGGUGUGCUAGCUUAAAAAAACAAAACUGAUGAUCUUUAUACUGGAUAGACAUUUAUUAU